ensembl:lncRNA
AUGUCUUUAGAGAACAGUGCCCUAUCCAGCAGGAUAUAUUGUCUCAUAUGUGUCAGGUGUUUUUGUUGUUGUUGUUGUUUCUUUCAAUUUCCAUUAUUUACCCCUCAAGGAAGAAAAUAUUGGACAGGUCCUACAAACCCCAAAGAGCCUUCAGGACUCUGCCCUAUUUUUAGUUAUUCACACACCUUUUCCAGUCUGUUACUUCCUUCCCUGAAUGUUCAUUCUGUGCCAAAAGGGUUGUAAUGAUCAGUGGCAAUACAUGAGAUGACAACCAGACCAUUAACACAGAAUGAACAUUCAGGGAAGGAAGUAACAGACUGGAAAAGGUGUGUGAAUAACUAAAAAUAGGGCAGAGUCCUGAAGGCUCUUUGGGGUUUGUAGGACCUGUCCAAUAUUUUCUUCCUUGAGGGGUAAAUAAUGGAAAUUGAAAGAAACAACAACAACAACAAAAACACCUGACACAUAUGAGACAAUAUAUCCUGCUGGAUAGGGCACUGUUCUCUAAAGACAUUUUACUAUAAAACUUUUUUCAUAAAACUAUUGUUACGUUCUUUGUCUAGGCGAGUAUCGAACGCAACAAGAAGUUGGCCCACCCACACACCACCCAACUAAGUACACAAACCACAAUAUCUUCUAAAAGUGCUAAGCAGCCAUUUAUUUUGCUUCAGCUGUGAGCAGUGCCAAAAAUAACAAACAAAACUCCCUACUGGUCCCUAUGCUUUCCUACACAAAAUAAAAACCAACCAAAAGACAAUCCACUUACCUAACUUUCUAACAAAAACAGGAGAAAACUUAAUCAACAAAAAUGGCUUCUCACGCCUACUAUGCUGCUGCAGUGAAGGAUAUAUACACAAGGUGAACAAAAUGUACGAUCGCUACUUGACAAGACUAUUUACAACUAUUUACAAAACUAAGACACUAACACCAAACACACGAGUGGAACAUGGUGGAUACACAGACGGACCAGCCAGCACAAAGACAGAAGACGCGACUUAAAUACACACAGAGAAACACAAGGAGAUUACACACAGGUGGGGAACACAGCUGGGAAUAAUCAACCAGACGAGACAGAGGUAAAACUGAACACACUCACAUGAGACGCAGACCUUCACAAUAAAACAGGAAACGAGAACACUACACCAAGACGAAGACCUGACACUGAGAGACAGAAUGACACAUGGACCCUGAACUAAACUAAACGUAAGAUACAACCGAGAACAAAAUCCUUAAACAUGACAUAAAACACUGACAACAUUAAAUCAUAACAUUAUACCCUUUAAAUGUUUAUGUAUUUUUAAAUAAUGGAAAUAAAGCUGCAACACCUUCCAUCUUAUGUCAGAAACAUUUGAGGUUGACAGUAUUUUAUGAGAACAAACCUUUGAUUGUGCACACUCAUUCCUGAAAUGAAACUGCCUCUUCCUGUGCCACGAACAGUAAACAUCAGCCGUGCAACCUCCACAUUUUCCCAUCCGUGGUUGCAACGAAUCCUGAAAACAAAGAAAAGUACCUCAAAACAUUCGAAGCUUUAAACAAACUUAGAUCUGAUAAUAAAGAACAACUUAUGCCUUAAUCAGAGUGUUUUUAAAAAAUGUAAAAGAAUCCUUAAAAUCUUUGAUUGCUACUGCUCUAGAAGGCAUAAAAAAAAAAAAAAAAAUUGUCUCAUGAAUGCACUUUCCAGCAUGUGUCAGUAUGAAGUUUAAUUUAACACAGCUGUUAAAACAUUUUUCAGGAUUUACCGGGUUGGUAACAAUUAUUUAGAUUUAUUGAAUUUAUAGGAAAUUACACAAGUGCCAUCUUGUAUCAUUAUGAUCUGUGUAAAGAGACAAGUUUAAGAAUAUUUUUGCAAAAAUACGUUAAAGUUGGAAGUAAUUGGCCGAUGUUCCAAUCUUGAAGAUCAGCUGUGCCCAUUUGUUGCACAUUGUGGGAAUGGAGAAGUUGAGGCCCUUGCAGGCUACCCACAAUUUUCCCCAAACUGAGCGACCCAGCUAAUUCAACACCUUUACCAAGCAGUGCUGUUAUGUAAUUGGAUACAAGGGGUGAGACAGUAAUAUUUUCCCUCCUUGGUUGUAGCUCCCUGACAUUACAAGGGUAAUCAUUUUAUGAUGUCGGGUUCAGUGUUACACCAGGAUUUCAAAUACAAUAUCAUCAUCAAUAAGAAUUAGUAUUAUCAUUUCAGAAUUGUAGGUAACCACUUUUAAAUGCCAUAGACUACUUAUUUGUUUAAUUUGAUGUAUUCUCUCUAGGAGAAAGCAGAGGGAAUAUCCCGUUUAACUUAUGCUAUCUGUUUAAGUUUAGAUUUGUAAAGAUAUUGACCAUAUCCUUUUCUGAAAGUGUGGAUAUAAUGGAUGGGGUAAGGUACUGUCAUGCCACAACUUUAUAGUUGUUAAAUUCUGGGUACAAGUAUACAUGCCCAUCUUGUACAUGUUUUUUAAUAUUAUUAUCAUCAUCAUCAUCACCACCACCAUCCUACCCAAUUACAUGUUUCUUUUAAUCAGGUUGUGCUGUUUUAAUGACUUUACAGUAUAAUUUACAUCGUGUUCCUUCAAUUUUCCCUAAUUGUAUGUUAUAUUAAUCCCAUAUUUCCGUUUUAAUAUUUCUAAUGUUUGCAUUGUUUUCUUCACUGCCUGGUCUGCCUCUGUCUCGCCUGUAUGGAUGCAUUUACACCUAAAUUUCCCCAACAAAUGAUGUUUUAAUUCACAACUAUUCCAGUGAAACACGAGUCUCCCAUCUUACUGAUACCGGUCUCGAGUUUUUGGUCACCAAAGCACACACCAACUUCAUACUGACGGACAUAUCACUGCCCUAUUCCCGCCUUGUCUGACCGUGUUUUGUGGCUUUGGUUCACUUUACCUCACUCUUCCCCAUUCUUGUCAUUAAAUCAGGCCGUUCUGCAACCAUGGCAGCCAUUCACUCUAUGGCUUUAUUCAUGGUGUAUUUUACCCCUUCACCAAAUGCCGUUCUCGUUUCCCACAUUAUAUUUGCAGUGUUCGUCUAUCUAUCAACAUCUGUGGAGUAUGGUUUUGUACCGAGUAUCCUAUUUUGUAGAGCACAGCAUGUAAAGGUUAGCUCGGUUAGCAGGAUGGUAGCAUGUAGCGCUUAGUGAGACACGCAUCAGACGAGUUGAGCAAAGACCCCGUCUGUGUACUUUAUACGUGACCAACGGAUUUAAAUAAAAUUAACGUUUCAAAAGACAAACUUGAAGAUAAAACAUAAUAUACUUACCGGAGAACCGCCAGGGUUUGCCGCUCCUGAAUUCAAAACUGCCUCUGCAGACAGGCAGGGGAGGCGCGGAAAUUUUCUUUGAGUUAGUCAAACGUUUUCCUCAGUUCGAGUAGAUGAUAAAAUAAAAGAAAAAUGAAUGGGAUUUUAAGUAGGACUAGGCGUCCUGUAAUGAUCUUUAUUUAGGAGAAAAACUUAAUCCCUCACCUCUAAACAGCUAUCUUCUAGGAGACACACUGCUGGCUAACGAUGUCAUGUGAUCAAACAGCGUAAUUUAAUUGGCUGAGAGCCGCUCGACUCGAUCUAGUGCUGAUUGCUCUGGCUUGGGUCAUUUAAGUUCAUCACUUUUGCAGUUGAAUUUUUGCAGGUGAAUUUUUGCAGGUGAAUUUUUUGCUGGUGAAUAUUUGACGGUGAAUUUUUUGCAGGUGAAUUUUUUUCAGGUGAAUAUUUGCAGGUGAAUUUUUUGCAGGUGAAUUUUUGCAGGUGAAUUUUUUGCAGGUGAAUAUUUGAUGGUGAAUUUUUUGCAGGUGAAUUUUUGCAGGUGAAUUUUUGCAGUUGAAUUUUUUGCAGGUGAAUUUUUUGCAGGUGAAUUUUUGCAGGUGAAUAUUUUUGCAGGGAAAUUUGGAGGAUAAAAAUUCAGUGUUAUAAAUUCGAUGUCUAAAAAUAGUUGGAUUCUGAUGAUACUAUAUUUCUUCCAUAAAUAUCCUAUUAGAGCGAUUAGAACAAGCUGUAGGUAUUACAGCUACUGCACUGCAGUGGUUUGUAUCAUAUCUAUCUAAUAGACUCCAAUUUGUUCAAGUAAAUGAAGAGUCCUCUUCACACACUAAGGUCUAUUAUGGUGUUCCUCAGGGUUCAGUGCUAGGAC